rnacentral:rRNA from 1 species
GACGAACGCUGGCGGCGUGCCUAAUACAUGCAAGUUGAGCGCUGAAGGUUGGUACUUGUACCAACUGGAUGAGCAGCGAACGGGUGAGUAACGCGUGGGGAAUCUGCCUUUGAGCGGGGGACAACAUUUGGAAACGAAUGCUAAUACCGCAUAAAAACUUUAAACACAAGUUUUAAGUUUGAAAGAUGCAAUUGCAUCACUCAAAGAUGAUCCCGCGUUGUAUUAGCUAGUUGGUGAGGUAAAGGCUCACCAAGGCGAUGAUACAUAGCCGACCUGAGAGGGUGAUCGGCCACAUUGGGACUGAGACACGGCCCAAACUCCUACGGGAGGCAGCAGUAGGGAAUCUUCGGCAAUGGACGAAAGUCUGACCGAGCAACGCCGCGUGAGUGUAGAAGGUUUUCGGAUCGUAAAACUCUGUUGGUAGAGAAGAACGUUGGUGAGAGUGGAAAGCUCAUCAAGUGACGGUAACUACCCAGAAAGGGACGGCUAACUACGUG